rnacentral:rRNA from 1 species
UACGUAGGGGGCUAGCGUUGUCCGGAUUUAUUGGGCGUAAAGAGCGUGUAGGCGGCCAGGUAGGUCUGCUGUGAAAACUCGAGGCUCAACCUCGAGACGUCGGCGGAAACCAUCUGGCUAGAGUCCGGAAGAGGAGAGUGGAAUUCCUGGUGUAGCGGUGAAAUGCGCAGAUAUCAGGAAGAACACCCGUGGCGAAGGCGGCUCUCUGGGACGGUACUGACGCUGAGACGCGAAAGCGUGGGGAGCGAAUGGG